rnacentral:rRNA from 1 species
AUUGAACGCUGGCGGCAUGCCUCACACAUGCAAGUCGAACGGUAACGCGGGGCAACCUGGCGACGAGUGGCGAACGGGUGAGUAAUGCAUCGGGACGUGCCCAGUAGUGGGGGAUAGCCCGGCGAAAGCCGGAUUAAUACCGCAUACGACCUACGGGUGAACGGGGGGGAUCGCAAGACCUCUCGCUAUUGGCGCGGCCGGUGUCAGAUUAGCUAGGUGGUGGGGUAAAAGCCUACCAAGGCGACGAUCUGUAGCUGGUCUGAGAGGACGACCAGCCACACUGGGACUGAGACACGGCCCAGACUCCUACGGGAGGCAGCAGUGGGGAAUUUUGGACAAUGGGCGAAAGCCUGAUCCAGCCAUGCCGCGUGCGGGAAGAAGGCCUUCGGGUUGUAAACCGCUUUUGUCAGGGAAGAAAUCUUCUGAGUUAAUACCUCGGGAGGAUGACGGUACCUGAAGAAUAAGCACCGGCUAACUACGUGCCAGCCGCCGCGGUAA